rnacentral:rRNA from 1 species
AAAGUCUGACCUGCCCUAUGAAUUUAAAAGAUUUAAAUGGCUGCGGUAUUUUGACCGUGCAAAGGUAGCAUAAUAAUUAGUUUUUUAAUUGAGAACUAGAAUGAAUGGUUGGACGAGAAAAAAACUGUCUCAAUUUAAUUUAUAUUAGAAUUUAAUUUUUAAGUUAAAAAGCUUAAAUAUAUUUAAAAGACGAGAAGACCCUAUAGAGUUUUAUAUAAAAUAUUAUAUUUAAUUUUUAGAAUUAUUUAAUUUGAAAUAUAAUAUUUUAUAUUUGGUUGGGGUGAUUAAAAAAUUUAAAUAACUUUUUUUAAAUUAAACCAUUGAUAUAUGAUUAAGUGAUCCA